CCCUUAGAUGCUCUGGGCCGCACGCGCGCUACACUGGUCGAUGCAACGAGCUUCUUUCCUUGGCCGACAGGCCUGGGCAAUCUUUGAACAUCGAUCGUGAUCGGGAUAGAUUCUUGUAAUUUUUGAUCUUAAACGAGGAAUUCCUAGUAAACGCAAGUCAUCAGCUUGCAUUGAUUACGUCCCUGCCCUUUGUACACACCGCCCGUCGCACCUACCGAUUGAAUGGUCCGGUGAAAUCUCCGGACUGGCGUGAGUCGGAGCAAUCUGACAAACACCGGAAAGUUGAUUAAACCUUACCAUUUAGAGGAAGGUGAAGUCGUAACA
rnacentral:rRNA from 1 species